UGGCAGGGCGGCAGCUACACAUGCAGUCGAACGGCAGCACAGGAGAGCUUGCUCUCUGGGUGGCGAGUGGCGGACGGGUGAGGAAUACAUCGGAAUCUACCUUUUCGUGGGGGAUAACGUAGGGAAACUUACGCUAAUACCGCAUACGACCGAAGGGUGAAAAAUUGCCGGAGGACCCUCCGGCCUCGCGCCGAGAGAAGAGCCGAGACCGAAUAGCUAAGUGACGGGGUAAAGGACCACCAAGGCGACGAUCCGGUAGCUGAUCCGAGAGGGAAUGAUCAGCCACACUGGAACUGAGAACACGGUCCAAACCACAACGGGAGCAAGCAGUUGGGGAAUAUUGGACAAUAGGCGCAAGCCUGAUCCAGCCAUGCCGCGAGGGUGAAGAAGGCCUUCGAGAUGUAAAGCCCUUUUGAUGGGAAAGAAAAGCAGUCGGUUAAAACCCAAUGGUUCUGACGGUACCCAAAGAAUAAGCACCGGCUAACUUCGUGCCAGCAGCCGCGGGUAAAUACGAAGGGGGCAAAAGCCAUUACCUCGGAAUUACUGGGCGUAAAGCGUGCGUAGGUGGUUGGUUUUAAGUCCGUUAGUGAAAGCCCUGGGCCUCCAACCUGGGAAAUUGCCAGUGGAUACCUGGGCAACUAGAGUUGUGGUAAAAGGAUGGCGGAAUUCCCCCGGGGGUAGCAGUGAAAUGCCGUAGAGAUCCGGGAGGAACAUCUGUGGCGAAGGCGGCCCAUAUCGGAACCAACACUGACACUGAAGCACCAAAAAGCGGGGAAAAAACAAGAUUAGAUACCCUGGUAGUCAACGCCCCAAACGAUGCGAACUGGAUGUUGGGGCAACUUGGCACGCAAUACCGAACCUAACGCGUUAAGUUCGCCGCCCGGGGAAUACGCUCGCAACACUGAAACCCAAAAGAACCGACGGGGGCCCGCACAAGCGGUGGAGUAGAAGAUGAAAUCCAUGCAACGCGAAAAACACUACCUGACCUCCAGAAAUCCACGGAACUGCCAGAGAUGGAACGAGACUAAGUCACUCCGGGAACCGUAAGACAAACACAGCAGGCCGACGCAACUCAGUAGUGAGAUGUUGGGUUAAGUCCCGCAACGAGCGCAACCCUUGUCCUUAGUUGCCAGCACGUAAUGGUGGGAACUCUAAGGAGACCGCCGGUGACAAACCGGAGGAAGGUGGGGAUGACGUCAAGUCAUCAUGGCCCUUACGACCAGGGCUACACACGUACUACAAUGGUAGGGACAGAGGGCUGCAAGCCGGCGACGGUAAGCCAAUCCCAGAAACCCUAUCUCAGUCCGGAUUGGAGUCUGCAACUCGACUCCAUGAAGUCGGAAUCGCUAGUAAUCGCAGAUCAGCAUUGCUGCGGUGAAUACGUUCCCGGGCCUUGUACACACCGCCCGUCACACCAUGGGAGUUUGUUGCACCAGAAGCAGGUAGCUUAACCUUCGGGAGGGCGCUGCCACGAGACUCAUUUCC
rnacentral:rRNA from 1 species